rnacentral:rRNA from 1 species
UGGGGAAUAUUGGACAAUGGGCGCAAGCCUGAUCCAGCAAUGCCGCGUGUGUGAAGAAGGCCUACGGGUUGUAAAGCACUUUCAGUAGGGAGAAAAAAUCUAAGGUUAAUACCCUUAGAUCAUGAUGUUACCUACAGAAGAAGCACCGGCUAACUCUGUGCCAGCAGCCGCGGUAAUACAGAGGGUGCAAGCGUUAAUCGGAGUUACUGGGCGUAAAGCGUGCGUAGGCGGAUAUUCAAGUCGGGUGUGAAAGCCCCGGGCUCAACCUGGGAACUGCAUUCGAUACUGGGUAUCUAGAGUAUGGUAGAGGGAAGUGGAAUUUCCGGUGUAGCGGUGAAAUGCGUAGAUAUCGGAAAGAACACCAGUGGCGAAGGCGACUUCCUGGACCAAUACUGACGCUGAGGUACGAAAGCGUGGGGAGCAAACAGGAUUAGAGACCCUGGUAGUCCACGCCGUAAACGAUGAGAACUAGGCGUUAAUUCCGCAUUGCGGAACUAGUGCCACAGCUAACGCGUUAAGUUCUCCGCCUGGGGAGUACGGUCGCAAGAUUAAAACUCAAAGGAAUUGACGGGGGCCCGCACAAGCGGUGGAG